rnacentral:misc_RNA from 1 species
UGAUGGUACCACUUAUCGCAAGGUUUUUCGAUUUUUUUCCCUCUUCAAUUUGCUUGAUUCUUAGGUUAAUUUCUAUGUUUUUGGUGAACCCCAUUACUGGGUUUUGCUUGGAUUUGCUUAGAUCUACAGGUUUGACAAAUAGGUUUGCUUUUUUUUGGAUCUAGAUUGUAUGGAUUUUAGCAUAUAUGAGCAUCAAUUUUUAAGUUGCUAAGCUUCUGGAUUUGCUGAAUUUCUUUGUUUUGCCUGUUUAUUGUUCUUGUAUGUUGGUUAUUUUGAGAAAUUAGAGUGAUCUAGUGUAUAGUUUUGUUAGAAACUGGAAGUGGUUUUUA